UCUCCGUAGGUGAACCUGCGGAGGGAUCAUUACCGAGUUCAUGCCCUACCGGGUAGAUCUCCCACCCUUUGUUUUGAUUACUUUGUUGCUUUGGCGGGCCGUUAGGCUCCGGCCCGACUACCGGCCCCGGCUGGUACGCGCCCGCCAGAGGCCCAAAACCCUGAAUAGUAGGGUCGUCUGAGUACUAUAGAAUAGUUAAAACUUUCAACAACGGAUCUCUUGGUUCUG
rnacentral:misc_RNA from 1 species